ACGUUGCUUAAGCUUGCAGAGGCAAGGGAUGAUGUAGCCACAGGUGUUCGCUCUGCAUCAAGCUACAAAACUGGAAAUCUUCAUGACCUUGGUGGUCUUUUUGCAGUAACAGGGGAGCAGACCAGUGUGCAGCAGUGACUGGAGGAGGUUCAGCUGUCUGAUUUCUACAAAUUGCUUUGUGAUGCAGGGAUACAGGAUCUGGAAGCGCUUUCACAUGUGAAUAGGGACGAACUAGAAAGAACAGGGAUGAAGAAGGAUAACAUAAGCAGACUACUGACUGCAAGCAACAUGUUGAAAUCGGCGUUCUACAAGUGCAUCACGUCCAAGGGGUUCACUAUAUACAGCUGAACGUGGCUAUGUCAAAAAGAGUAAAGACACUUGAAGAUUUCAUG